rnacentral:rRNA from 1 species
GCUUAACACAUGCAAGUCGAGGGGCAGCAUGGUCUUAGCUUGCUAAGACUGAUGGCGACCGGCGCACGGGUGAGUAACACGUAUCCAACCUGCCGUCUACUCUUGGACAGCCUUCUGAAAGGAAGAUUAAUACAAGAUGGCAUCAUGAGUCCGCAUGUUCACAUGAUUAAAGGUAUUCCGGUAGACGAUGGGGAUGCGUUCCAUUAGAUAGUAGGCGGGGUAACGGCCCACCUAGUCUUCGAUGGAUAGGGGUUCUGAGAGGAAGGUCCCCCACAUUGGAACUGAGACACGGUCCAAACUCCUACGGGAGGCAGCAGUGAGGAAUAUUGGUCAAUGGGCGAGAGCCUGAACCAGCCAAGUAGCGUGAAGGAUGACUGCCCUAUGGGUUGUAAACUUCUUUUAUAAAGGAAUAAAGUCGGGUAUGCAUACCCGUUUGCAUGUACUUUAUGAAUAAGGAUCGGCUAACUCCGUGCCAGCAGCCGCGGUAAUACGGAGGAUCCGAGCGUUAUCCGGAUUUAUUGGGUUUAAAGGGAGCGUAGAUGGAUGUUUAAGUCAGUUGUGAAAGUUUGCGGCUCAACCGUAAAAUUGCAGUUGAUACUGGAUAUCUUGAGUGCAGUUGAGGCAGGCGGAAUUCGUGGUGUAGCGGUGAAAUGCUCAGAUAUCACGAAGAACUCCGAUUGCGAAGGCAGCCUGCUAAGCUGCAACUGACAUUGAGGCUCGAAAGUGUGGGUAUCAAACAGGAUUAGAUACCCUGGUAGUCCACACGGUAAACGAUGAAUACUCGCUGUUUGCGAUAUACUGCAAGCGGCCAAGCGAAAGCGUUAAGUAUUCCACCUGGGGAGUACGCCGGCAACGGUGAAACUCAAAGGAAUUGACGGGGGCCCGCACAAGCGGAGGAACAUGUGGUUUAAUUCGAUGAUACGCGAGGAACCUUACCCGGGCUUAAAUUGCAGAUGAAUUACGGUGAAAGCCGUAAGCCGCAAGGCAUCUGUGAAGGUGCUGCAUGGUUGUCGUCAGCUCGUGCCGUGAGGUGUCGGCUUAAGUGCCAUAACGAGCGCAACCCUUGUUGUCAGUUACUAACAGGUUCCGCUGAGGACUCUGACAAGACUGCCAUCGUAAGAUGUGAGGAAGGUGGGGAUGACGUCAAAUCAGCACGGCCCUUACGUCCGGGGCUACACACGUGUUACAAUGGGGGGUACAGAGGGCCGCUACCACGCGAGUGGAUGCCAAUCCCCAAAACCUCUCUCAGUUCGGACUGGAGUCUGCAACCCGACUCCACGAAGCUGGAUUCGCUAGUAAUCGCGCAUCAGCCACGGCGCGGUGAAUACGUUCCCGGGCCUUGUACACACCGCCCGUCAAGCCAUGGGAGCCGGGGGUACCUGAAGUGCGUAACCGCGAGGAGCGCCCUAGGGUAAAACUGGUGACUGGGGCUAA